GAUGAACGCUGGCGGCGUGCUUAACACAUGCAAGUCGAACGGUGAAGCAGGAGCUUGCUCUUGUGGAUCAGUGGCGAACGGGUGAGUAACACGUGAGCAACCUGCCCCUGACUCUGGGAUAAGCGCUGGAAACGGCGUCUAAUACUGGAUAUGUGAUGUGACCGCAUGGUCUGCAUCUGGAAAGAAUUUCGGUUGGGGAUGGGCUCGCGGCCUAUCAGCUUGUUGGUGAGGUAAUGGCUCACCAAGGCGUCGACGGGUAGCCGGCCUGAGAGGGGGCCCGGCCACACGGGGACUGAGACACGGCCCAGACCCCUACGGGAGGCAGCGGUGGGAAAUAUUGCACAAUGGGCGGAAGCCUUAUGCGGCAACGCCGCGUGGGGGAUGACGGCCUUCGGGUUGUAAACCUCUUUUAGCAGGGAAGAAGCGAAAGUGACGGUACCUGCAGAAAAAGCACCGGCUAACUACGUGCCAGCAGCCGCCGUAA
rnacentral:rRNA from 1 species